rnacentral:rRNA from 1 species
AGUCGAACGGUGGUAGCAAUACCAUAGUGGCGCACGGGUGCGUAACACGUAACUAACCUACCCAUCAUUGGGGGAUAGCCCGCCGAAAGGCGGAUUAAUACCGCAUAAGACAAUAGGGUGGCAUCGCUUAGUUGUUAAAGAUUUAUUGAUGAUGGAUGGGGUUGCGGGUCAUUAGCUAGUUGGUAAGGUAACGGCUUACCAAGGCGACGAUGACUAGGGGAGCUGAGAGGCUGGUCCCCCACACGGGCACUGAGAUACGGGCCCGACUCCUACGGGAGGCAGCAGUAGGGAAUAUUGGGCAAUGGGCGAGAGCCUGACCCAGCCAUGCCGCGUGCAGGAAGAAGGCUUUCUGAGUCGUAAACUGCUUUUGACAGGGAAGAAUAAGCACUACGUGUAGUGCGAUGACGGUACCUGCAGAAUAAGCACCGGCUAACUCCGUGCCAGCAGCCGCGGUAAUACGGAGGGUGCGAGCGUUGUCCGGAUUUAUUGGGUUUAAAGGGUGCGUAGGCGGCUUUUUAAGUCUGGGGUGAAAGCCCGCUGCUCAACAGCGGAACUGCCCUGGAUACUGGAGAGCUUGAGUACAGACGAGGUUGGCGGAAUGGACUGAGUAGCGGUGAAAUGCAUAGAUACAGUCCAGA